UUUUUUCUUUCUUUCUUCUUUUCUCUUUUCUUUUCUUCAGUUUUUCCUCCUCCCUUCAGCCAGCAACCGCCUUAAACCGCCGCGCCCAUUCCCGCCGCAUUCCGUUCCAGCGAACAGGGACGUCCGCCGGCCGCCAUCUCUGUCUUCAUUCGCGAAGCCGCCGCGUGACUGGCGUGUGUCUGACCGUCCGCAGACGCUUCACCAAGGCCGUCGUCGCGGUUCUGUUCGUCCGCUACCCUGCGCCGCUAGGUUUUCGUCCGCUACCGUGAAGCUGCCGUGAACCGAACUAAAGACCCCAGAUCCAACUUUCUGCGCGUUGAGUUCCUUCUUCAUCCUGUCACAGGUAGCAAACCCACGCCAUUCGAUUGGGUUGUUCGCUAUCGUUCCUGCUUUGCCACGAGUCAUCAAAUUUUGGUUGGCAAAAGUAACAAAGACGGCAAACCGACGAGGGGCAGGAAGGAAGCGUGAUCGUCAUAGGGGACACUUUAAAUUCGCUUCCGCUUAGUGAUUUACCGUAUUGUUUUGUUUUCGUACUUAAAGACUGUUUAGAAAAUUUGAGAUUUAACUCUA